rnacentral:rRNA from 1 species
UACGUAGGGUGCAAGCGUUGUCCGGAAUUAUUGGGCGUAAAGAGCUCGUAGGCGGUUUGUCGCGUCUGCCGUGAAAGUCCGGGGCUCAACUCCGGAUCUGCGGUGGGUACGGGCAGACUAGAGUGCAGUAGGGGAGACUGGAAUUCCUGGUGUAGCGGUGAAAUGCGCAGAUGUCAGGAGGAACACCGAUGGCGAAGGCAGGUCUCUGGGCUGUAACUGACGCUGAGGAGCGAAAGCAUGGGGAGCGAACAGG